rnacentral:rRNA from 1 species
UACGUAUGGGGCGAGCGUUAUUCGGAUUCAUUGGGCGUAAAGCGCAUGUAGGUGGUCCUUUAAGUCGAUGGUGAAAUCUUCAGGCUCAACCUGAAGACUGCUGUCGAUACUGAGGGACUUGAGUUCAGGAGAGGAGAAUGGAAUUCCAGGUGUAGGGGUGAAAUCUGUAGAUAUCUGGAAGAACACCGGUGGCGAAGGCGAUUCUCUGGCCUGAAACUGACACUGAGAUGCGAAAGCUAGGGGAUCAAACGGG